UCUUUCUUUCAUUCUUUGUUUGAUAGUUUUCUGCUUAUUUUUUUGCAGGUAUCUUCCCACUCCAUUUCGCCAACGCUCAUGUCAUCUCAAGGGUUUUUUCCGGUGGGUUCAUUUCUCAAGGUAAUUACACUGAUGAUGUAAACUCCAUGCUUCCUGACUUUAUUUAAAUUAGACCUACAAAGCACAUUCUUCUUCAGAUUAUUUGAAGCAGCAUCGUCGAUCUCUUCGCCAAAACUUUGGAAGGUUUGUGCAUAUUAUUUU